rnacentral:rRNA from 1 species
UACGUAGGGUGCAAGCGCUGUCCGGAAUCAUUGGGCGUAAAGCGCGUGUAGGCGGUCCGGUAAGUCCGCUGUGAAAGUCGGGGGCUCAACCCUCGGAUGCCGGUGGAUACUGUCGGGCUUGAGUACGGAAGAGGCGAGUGGAAUUCCUGGUGUAGCGGUGAAAUGCGCAGAUAUCAGGAGGAACACCGGUGGCGAAGGCGGGUCUCUGGGCCGAUACUGACGCUGAGGAGCGAAAGCGUGGGGAGCGAACAGG